AAUAGAACAUGCUACAUCAUAUGAUAUGUUACAUUAAUAUAUAAUUAAGAUGUUAGUAUGGUGUAUGUUAAAUACACCGGUAACUGCGGAUGAAGUGGUGUUCCAUCAAGAAUCUCUCUGUUGGCAUGAGAGAUAGAGAUAGAGACAUAGAAAUAGGUAAUGGCAAACAUGAUAAACUGAAGAUGUGGAAGACCUGGGUGGGUUAAUGACACUGUUCUGCACACACAAGGUAAAUGUGAUCUUUUAUAGCAGGAGAAGUUUGAUCUUCUUUCUGGGGAGCCAGCUGAACAUAUCAUGCUGUUGUGUACCAUGCUUGUAAAUGGCAGUCAUUUUAAUCUAUAUUUUAAAGUGUUGUGGGUGUAUUUAGUGAUGCAGAAAAUGAUAGGUGAAGAGGAAGGGAUUGACCCUGGCAGGUGCAGAGAACUGCUGCUGAGUAAGACAUCUCUCAUGGUGGCAGGUCCAUCUCUUCCUGACCCUAUGUCAAGCUGCUAUUUCUGUCAUCAAGACUUUUCUGAACAGACUUUCUAGCUGUACAGAAUAGCACCAGUCAAAAGUAUGGUUUUGUGCAAUGGUCUGGCAGUCUAGCAAUGGUCUAGCAGCACAAACUUAAAACCAAAACUGUCUCCAGUUGAUGUAAUUCAGAUGUGACCCUGAAUUUCAGGAGGUAACACUGCAUUACUAACCCAAAAAAAAGGCUGCUUCUAAUAAAAAUGACAUGGACCACACUGUUUUCUUCCUUUCUUCGAAACAAAUGCCUCAUUUUAUUUACAUUACAUUCAGCCUCCGGUGUAACAGAAAGAGGAAUCUUUUGUGUUCUGAGAUACUGUGGUCUAUAGACACUGAUUUAAUAACAUUUUGUAGUACACUAAGCAAAGAAAGAAAGAAACUCAGUUCAUUCAUAUUGCUGAGGGAAUUUGCCAAUUAGGAUCUACCAGGAUGACUGGGAGCAAAGAAAUGAUCCUUGAAGUGUGAGCAAUCACCUUACUGCUGGCACAUGACCUGUUCUCGUGUGUGAGAACCCAGGGCGUCCAUAUGGAAGCAGGAGAGCUUUAAUUUUCUUUGUGAGCAGAAGAUGUAAUGCACAGUUCCAAACACUGGAGCUGGUCAUUAUCGUCGUGUGUUGGGUAUUGUGUCUUCCCCAUCUUUUGUGUAGAGGGUCAGACUGAGAUUUAAAAUACAACUUUUCAAGUUCUGUUUUCAGUCCAGGAGUUUUCUGCUAAAACAGUCAAUGGAAAGGCUACCAUUAACUCUGAGAACAGCAUUAUGCUCCAGAGUUAACAUCCAAAUGUGUGGCUUCCUUUAUGAGCAAAGGAUGGGUGAAGUUCAAUUAGCAGUUAUUGUGACCAGAAUUCAGGUCAUAGUUUCAUGAGAUACUAUCACCAAAACCCCCAACUGGAUCACUGCAAUGAUCUGAGUUAAAAUUAGCUCUUCUUGGUGCAGGGGGGGAAUAUUUUUAAUCUGGAUUGUUUGAGCGACCCAGUUCAGGUGCAGCCUUGCAGCAGCACACUGGCAAGGGCAGCGGGUGCAGCACGUGGGUGGGAGUGAUGCCUUGAACAGGGGAACAGGGGAAGCAGCUGUAAGUCAUGUUACUGCUAGAGCCGGCAUUUUAUUUUUAAUUCUGUGGUAACUGGUGGAAACACCCGGGAAGAGAUAGCUGAGUAACAUGAUGACUAGCACAACUUGACUCUCCCCUUGGGACUUGCUUAAGGUUUUUUCUGUGUACGAUUGCUGUGACACUGGAGGUGUUCAGCUUGUGACUUUGUUUUUCAGAAACUGAACUAGCUGGCAGUUUGGAGGCUGAAGCUUUCUGGCGUUAGCCGUAGGGCGCCGGGACCACCUAAACUGAGAAAACAGAAAUUCCAGAAAACCGACAAAUCUCAGCAAAUGCUGAUUUUAAAAAAAGCUAUUGCUUUUUUUGUAGUUGUUGUUUUAGUAAUACCCUCCAAAGGGAUGGAUUGAAAAGGGGACUGAGCAUCACAGUGCCCAACUUUAAUGUUGCUGACACUUGGCAAAUCAUAGAAUGAUAAAGCUAGGAGGGACCUUGAAAGGUGAGGUGAGGUCUGGCGUGGUCCGUGUGCCUGAGUUGCACAAGCCAGUUCUCCCAGCCCUGUUACCAUUUUGGUAAGGUGCCCAUGCCUCGCUGAGCUGUCACAUGGUGAUGGGACCUCAGAGGCCUCUCCAGUCCCCCAGUGCCUAGACCGUAACCCUUUCUUUAAGGGGUCCACAGUGUCAUACAGCCCUUUUCCCUCUGGGCUGCAAAGGCAGAUGCUGCCACAGCCUGCCAUUCGAGGUAGCUUUUUUGGCCUAGAAAACUGCCCACCUUUGCAAACUGGAAGUGAUGUGAAAUAAGAGUGAUCUGCCAGAGGAGCUAUUCAUGGCCUGAGCGUUGCUGAUGUGCGGGGGCACAUGGAUGCUCAAAAGCCCUCGGCUCCUCUCAGCUUCUGCACUGAGUGAAGCACUAGCACCCCAACCCCGUAGUAAGCCAGUUUUGGGAGCCACACCAGCAAAAAAAUAUUUUUUUUUCUUUUGCAAGGUUGGGUUUCUGCCAGGUUAAACCCCAAACCAGCCCACAGCUGGGUCAGAGGGGUGCCAGCAUCCAAACAGGAGAGGAGGCUGUGACAUCCAGUAGAAGUAGGGGAAGGAGUACUCCUUUGGUGGUAGCUAGUCUUUAAGAAAUAACAAAUACCCUGCUGCUCACAACAGUCGUCCAUCUGGUCCUGUAUUCUGUCUCCGGCUGUGGCAAUAGGAAGAACACACUUUAGGUUGUGCUGCGAUUAAGUAGUAAGUGAGCAGGGUUUCGGUACACCUGAGCUGACCUAAUAGCUUGCUGCUGCCAGAAGGACUAUUCCCACUUUAUCCAUCAACACUCUAACAUGCUGGAAAAUAAUCCUUUUUUCCUUAGUUGGAUUAUUUUUCUGUUGGGCUAGUGAGUUAGAUCCGUUCAUUAGAGAGCCUGACAAGCGCCGCAGCUGGUGCAGAGGAGGGUCUGCAGAGCCAUAAACUGGUGAGAGGAGCAGGACCUCCCCCGUUCUGGAGACAGAGAGCUGUUGCAGCAGCUCAAAUGGUAUUGUCAGCCCUGACCUAGAUCUCAUGUGAAAUGAAACCUGAAUCUAAUCAUAUUUUGUUCUAUUUUUAACAAGGUCUAUCCAGCAAGCUGCAGUAAGCAGAAUAGGUUUAGACCCGUCAUUGAGUGGGAGAAGUGUGAGAAAGAGCGAAGAGCUGCAGGAAGUGGGUGAAGUGGUUGAAGAAAUGGUGCUCUGCCUUUCAUCCUUUCUGAGGAGAGGAUGUGAGCUGGAGCACUGCAGCAUUUGGCAUUUGGAUGAGCUGCAAAGCAGAGCCUGUGGCCACUUGUGGUCAAUAAAGAUUGCUUUUUUGGCACUUUUCCUAAAAGUAGCUUCAUUAAAUGCAAUGUGUUGGCCAAAUUCUAAUUGAGUAAAUCCAUUCUGUCUCUCUCAGGGCCCCUGAAGUAUCGGCUGGGUAAAAUGUUUGCUUCAUAGGAACAGAGGACUGACUUGCUAAUGGUCCAGUAAUUCAGCCCCUUGGAUGGGAUACUCAUUGGAUGUCAGCUGGCUCCAAAGGAUUCACACCUGCAAGGAGCUGGACCUUUAUUUUCUGCUGAUGGCAGUGCCAGAAUUAUCAGGGCAAGGUACAAAAAAACCAGGCAAUUAGGGAGUAAGCUGGUCGUUGAAAAGGUUUCCUUCUAUUGCCAGACAGUUAGUGGUUGGAUUCUGCUCUGAAGGUUUAUACCUAGUGAAAGCCUCUCCCGUAACUCUCUGUAUUUCUGCAGUGUAUUGCUGCAGCUUUACAACCCAGAGCAGGUGGCCCUCAGCCCAAAGUGAAGUCAUUCCUUAACAUUUAUAGCUUGAAAAGCAUUUUGGGAUCCUCUGAAGGCACUCUCUGUGGUGUAUUUUGGUAAUCAGAGUAUAAAAUCAUUCAUGCAAAUAAGAGGGCUUCCUGAACAUCCUUUUUUUUCUUAUUUUCUUUUUUUCUUUUUUUUUCCCCCCAGAAAAAGGAAUAUUCUACUAACACAGAACUUAUUUUCUUGAUCAGCGAAUGUGAGAUAUUUUCUUCACCUCUUCUUUGUCUCAUGGCUCGUGGCCACAAGGUGCAACAUUUUAGCCCAACUUUAGAAUCUUUUUUUGUGCUGAGCAUAGAGUGUUUUGCUAAGGCUGCCUUUCUGUCAGGCUGGAUUGCGAGUGUUUCAUCUGCACCUCAAAGCUGAAUCCUACUAACUUUGUCAGAAACAGACUUGCACUUAAGCCUCUCCCUUUUUUUCUUUUAAGCAUAAAAAUAUUUUCAAUGGGAUAAACAGAGAAAGUAACCUCAGAUCAGAGAUGCAUGAAGAAAAAAAAAAGCCAGGAUCCAAACACGGGGAGAUGUAAAGCUUUUCCCAGUCUUCCAGUCAGGGCUGCAUGCAGCUGUGACAGGGAGGGAGGAUGAUGUGGCUGUUCCCUCCUUAACAUCCUUAUGGGACACAGAGCACAUGCCUCAUUAAGCAACAUGAAUGGGUGUAUGUGCAUGCCUUUGUCGCAUCCUCAGGGUAAAUCCAGGACUGCCCUGGCCUGGAUGCAUGACUUCAGUUGCUCUGUCUGGGCAUGCUUACUUUAUGUGUCUCCCUUGAGUAGGGGCAAAGAGCAAAGAGCAUUCCCUUUAGACCCUGGUCCAUAUACAUGUGAUGUAGAUAUUGUAAAAUACACUAUUCUGGGCUUAUUUCUGAACCAUUACCUCUUUUGGCUUUUCAUAUGCCCUUUUGUUCAGACCAUCUCCAAAUAUAAGCAGGAGUGUGGAAGCUACUUUGCUGACAAAAUUGCUCACAAAUGGCAUACACCCUGGCAUCUUUCUUUGCCACCCCUCUCUCAAGGUUGAGGCCAAAGCAUAAGAUCCUCCACCGCUCCCUGCUGUGCCUGCGGAGGGGGAGCUGGCCCAUGGUUCAGCCAUCUGCGGCCCACGAGCAAUUACCUCUUGACUCGCUGUGUUGGGUCAAGUGUGAUGAGUGGCCGGGGCUGCAGGGUGACCUGAGCUGUCAGCCAUGUGAAGCUGUGAGCCAGUGGGGACUGUGGAUGUUGACAUUUCUGGGUUUCCCUGAGGUUUGAGCGCUGGCCCAGCACUGUUCUGCCACAGCCACAACCAUCGUCUCCUCCUGCAUCUUUGAUAGGGAUGUGGUAAGUCUUUUCUGAGUAGAAAGCAUGGCACAGCAGUGACCGUGUUAGUGCAAAAAAAUUCAGGGGAAGGGGAGCCCACCAGUGCAGCAAGCACUCAUUUUCCAUGUCUGCCCUUCCCUGUCCUCCUGACUCCCUCGUCCAGCUGGCAGGUGCUGUGUUGCGGUGCCUCAGCCGGGCAGGCUGAUUUGCGGGCAGGGUUAUCUCUGUUCCUUAUGCUCACCCCUUGGCUAAGCAAGGUCAUGGUUGAAAGUUAGUAUGAAUGGCAAUGGUAGUGUGUGGACCCAGGAGAGGAACGAGUCCUGUUGCAAUUUCCCUAUAAAGUAAAAAGAAAAGUCUAAAUUCAAUACUAAUGAGCGCAAUGAUGUUGAUUGCAAAGAGAGAGGGGCGGUGUGAAUCUGUGGCUGCAUAUGUGGUUGGUUGCAAUCUGUUUGACAAAGUGAACUUAAAGAUGACAUUAAUAGUGAAGCUUAUAAUAAAAGUUGCACCAUAUUUUAUUAUACGUCCCUGUUUUGGGUCACUUGCACUACUGCUGCAGUUCUGUCAUCUGGAUUGUAUAUUCCAUGUCUGUGCCUACUUCUGUUCAGUUUUGUGGGAAAAGUUAAGCUGAAACAGAUCAGCUGUUUCCUCCUACUCUCUCAUCAACAAGAUUUAUCAUUACUGUGGUCUGCCACAGAGAUCAGAAAUUAGGUGAGAAGGUCGUGUUAGCAUCAUGGAUGUGAUUUUAGCUGUCAUCAUGAAAAUCCCUUCACAUUUGGAUAAACUCAUUGAAAAAUGCUGUGUUUUACAUGUUCAGCGGGGGAGCUGUUAAAUUUUUGAGGUGACAAAGGUCAGACAUGCAGAAAGGGAAAAAAAUUUUGUUCUUUCCUUGCAACUUUUGCAAAUAGAGGCUGUUGCUGGUUUGGAAGCAGCACAGCAAUGGAUGGUUUUAGUAAGGAGGUUGUAGCUACAAUCACCACCUCUAUUGCACCCAAAUCUGUGCCUGGUGGUAUGGGAAUAACUGUGUGAAAUAAAAGCAAGACUAAAGGAGGCAACCACAGCACACACCAGGAUUGAUGAGACUGGCAGUAUCAGUAGGAGAAUGAUGAUCAGGAUGAACGACAGGGAAGACGCAUGUCUCACUGCUACUUACUGCCUCCGAAUGAUCACAGAAGUGUGGUGGGUUUCUGUGUCUUGACUGUGGAGCUGACGUGCAGACUGCAAUCCCAAGGCUUUUCACGAGGGCACUGCUGCCAUGCAGAGGCAGCUUUUGUACUGGAUAUCAGUACAAGAAGAGAGCAAGAGGAGGCCGGCAAUUAAUGUUGAAGAAGAAUGAGAGAAAGUAGGUUAACACACAGAAAUCUGUGAUGGCGAUUGUGGUUUAAACUGCCAGUCUGAUGCAAUGGAUGAUGAACAGGUGCAUGGUUAAAUUUUAUAGAUUUUCCGCCUCUACUGAGGGUACUCCAGCCUCCCACAGCUCUAUAGGCCGUGAGAUUACACAUAAACCAUCCCCACAGUCUGACUAUAAACGCUCCAUCCAUCCUGGGAUCAGCCAGAACUUUCCCUACAUCUCUUGCAAACAUGUGAGGUCAAAUCCUGGAACUAAAAGCCGUGAUGGUUGCUCUCCUGUGCUUUCAGUGUUGUAUGUAUGCAUUGAGAAUGAGGAGGAAACUGCUGGGAUAAAAUGCAGUUGGUAGAUGGUAUGGAAGAAGAGAAGCAACAGGUAUGUGGGUAGAAACUCAGAGAGUAAUAGGAACUGCAAGUAUGUGAGUGCAGUUUUAGAUGCAAGAAUUAAAAGGGCAAAAAUGAGGAAGGUGGAAUAGAGUGGGAGUGAUUUUCCCAGAAGGCUGUGUAAUUAUUCAUGAGGGAUGAUGCUGUAAGAAUCAAUCAUGACUAUGUGGGAAGGUUUUAUCUGUAGGAUCCUUGUCUCCCUGCUUGCUGAAUUUGGAAGGUAUGAGGCAACAAUUAUAUAAUUAAAGAUGCGACCGUAAUGAUUAUGCAAAAUGGAACCAAGUUAAUGGUCAUGUCGAUCAUUAUUAUUAUGUAAUUGAAUAUUUGAAUGUAUAAGAAAGCUUCAACAAUUAAAGGCAUUCUAAGGGCCUACUUGAAGAAAAAGAAGUUGGUUACAUGCAGGCAGUUACUAAAAUGGCAACCGAAUCAAACAAGACCAAGAAAGAAAAAAAUCAUUAAUGGGUAUAUAAAUUGCAUUAAUUUUAAAAGUCACCCUAACAACAAACAAAACUUGUACUUGUAAUGGAAACUAGAUUUCUACAGACUAAAGUCAAUGGAAACUGAAAAAAGUAAAUCAAGUGUGUAUAGCUUUUUAUCUUGGGAUAAGGAUUUUUUAUAGGUUAACAUUUUCACAGGCACAUAACUGGCUUGGUUUUCAGAGAUGGCCAUUUGCUUAGGGCUUUGAAUCUGAAUGUUUGAUGGCAUUCAUCUUGCCUAAUUUAGACAUCUAAUAAUGGACAUUUUAAAUUUAAGCUAGUUGUCUUAGGCUGGCUCUAGAAUCAGUGAAGAGAAAUGGCAUCUUCAGAGAGAAAGUAAUUUCUUCCAUCUUGGAUGCCAGUUUUACCAUGACAUGACUUGUCCUCGAAAGAUGCCUAUUCUUCUCCACUGCGUAUAAAAGGAGCUUAAGGUAACUAAGACUUGAAUGAUCUACUUUCAGGUGAUUAAAGACAUGAAAUAAAUCCCAUCGGUCUUGGUAUCUAACGUAAGGCAUCCACAUUUAAAAACUGUAGCCAUAAUAGCUACUCGUAAGGCCAUAUCAAAACAAACUGUUGUGAAGCGUGCUCUGUGUACUCCAACAGUUAGCUCUCAAAAAGGCUGGACCAAGCAGUGCAGACACAGACAUACACAACCAGGGUGCGGACCAUGUAGGCAGCAAGCAAAGAGCUUUUGGAGAGUGGUGUGCCAGAAGGACUCUGUGACCACAGUCUCCCACGGUCUGCCAAAGAUGGUGUCUUUUCUCUUGGUUCACCUGUAUUUCAACUUCGGCUUGAAUGAGUCACUUUGUCUUCAGGGGCUUCUUGGGAUUUGUCUAU